ACGGCAGGUCAGUAUGCCCCGAAACCCUCGGGCCACACGCGGGCUGCAAUGGUAAGGACAAUGAGUUUCGAUUCCGAAAGGAGGAGGCAAUCUCUAAACCUUACCACAGUUAUGAUUGAGGGCUGAAACUCGCCCUCAUGAAUAUGGAAUCCCUAGUAACCGCGUGUCACUAUCGCGCGGUGAAUACGUCCCUGCUCCUU
rnacentral:rRNA from 1 species